GAGGAGACUUAGAUCGGCAAGGUGGUGCAGAAGAUCUAGAUUGCUUGUUAUGAGAUGGGGUUUGAGAAUGAUGAGGUUUAAGUUCAGGACGUCGAUGCUACACUCGUCGGGAGUCUUUCUUUUUCUCUUAUCCGAAGCUUUGAUGAGAUGUUCUGAUAAGAUUUUUCUCUUGCUGAUCUUAAGCUUCAUCAGUCUGAGUAUAAUUCUCUGCUCAUUCC
rnacentral:lncRNA from 1 species